rnacentral:rRNA from 1 species
GAGUACCACGGGACACGUGAAACCCUGUGGGAAGCAGGAGGGACCACCCUCCAAGGCUAAAUACUACCUAGUGACCGAUAGCGUAUAGUACCGUGAGGGAAAGGUGAAAAGAACCCCGGGAGGGGAGGGAAAUAGAACCUGAAACCCUGCACUUACAAGCUGUGGAAGCACAUUUCUUGUGUGACCGCGUACUUUUUGUAGAACGGGCCAACGAGUUACGUUAAGUAGCAAGGUUAAGCACUUAAGGUG